CUUUGGGAUAACCCUCGGAACCGGGGGCUAUUCCGGAAUAUCACCUUUCACCGCAUGGUGGGGGUGUGGAAAGUUUUUCGGCUGGGGAUGGGCUCGCGGCCUAUCAGCUUGUUGGUGGGGUGAUGGCCUACCAAGGCGACGACGGGUAGCCGGCCUGAGAGGGCGACCGGCCACACUGGGACUGAGACACGGCCCAGACUCCUACGGGAGGCAGCAGUGGGGAAUAUUGCACAAUGGGCGGAAGCCUGAUGCAGCGACGCCGCGUGAGGGAUGACGGCCUUCGGGUUGUAAACCUCUUUCGGCAGGGACGAAGCGUAAGUGACGGUACCUGCAGAAGAAGCGCCGGCCAACUACGUGCCAGCAGCCGCGGUAAGACGUAGGGCGCGAGCGUUGUCCGGAUUUAUUGGGCGUAAAGAGCUCGUAGGCGGUUUGUCGCGUCGACUGUGAAAACCCACAGCCCAACUGUGGGCUUGCAGUCGAUACGGGCAGGCUAGAGUUCGGUAGGGGAGACUGGAAUUCCUGGUGUAGCGGUGAAAUGCGCAGAUAUCAGGAGGAACACCGGUGGCGAAGGCGGGUCUCUGGGCCGAUACUGACGCUGAGGAGCGAAAGCGUGGGGAGCGAACAGGAUUAGAUACCCUGGUAGUCCACGCUGUAAACGUUGGGCGC
rnacentral:rRNA from 1 species